UGCGCCUGUAGCUCAAUUGGUUAGAGCGGGCCGCUCAUAACGGCUAGGUUGCGGGUUCAAGUCCUGCCGGGCGCAG
rnacentral:tRNA from 2 species